AAAUAACUCACCCUAAGGAAAUGGAGUUUAGACAAUAAUUAGGUAGACAAUAAUACUCAGUACUAUGUCAAAAUUGGCCAUUAAGCAGAUCACAAGUAACUUCAUCAGUUUAAGCUCAACAUGAAACAUAAGAACCAUACUCAUUAAAGAAAGAAACAAUGCUGGGGAAAUCUGUUCUCCCCGCUAUUAUCCAACAUUUUAGUGGAGGCCCUAGUCCAUGCAAUAAGAUAAGAAAAAGAAGAGUGGUUUGAAGAUUAGAAAAUGAUCAUACAAUAACUAUUACUGUUAUAUUUUAUUAAAAUCCAUCUAGAACUUGCAAGUCUAAUAUGGUAGCCACUGACUUCAUGUAGCUACUGAGCAUUUGAAGUAUGGCUAGUUGGAGUUGAGAUGUGUCAUAAGUGUAAAACACAGGGAAACCCCAUCUCUACUAAAAAUACAAAAAACAAGUAUCCAGGUGUGGUGACACAUGCCUGUAGUCCCAGCUACUCAGGAGGCUGAGGCAUGAGAAUUGCUUGAACCUGGAGGUGGAGGCUAGCCUGGGUGACA
rnacentral:lncRNA from 1 species